rnacentral:tmRNA from 1 species
GGGGGUGUCCCGGUAUUCGACUGGGUGUGGAACUCACUAAGAGCAAGCCGUGGGUGAUGAACGUCCACGUAAAUACGGUCAUCAAAAUUAUAGCUGCAAACAACAGCGACUACGCUCCGGCUCACGCAGCAAUCGCUGCCUGAGUAGGCGUCUCGCGGAGGUAGGCCCGAGGG